AUUUGAGGGAGGAAAAAAAAAAAAAAGAGUGAGACAGGGAAAUAAAUGGGUAACAGAAACAGGAUAAAAGAAGAGAAAGAUCAAAGCCAAGUUAGUAGGAAAAGGUGGCACAGCUAAGGACAUACUGUUUACCUCGUGCAAUUUUUGCUGGAGUCAAACUUUAAAAAUUGAUUGGCCUCCCAAUAGCUGCUGCAUCUCUCUUCCCUUUGCUGGAAGUAGCAUUUGGAAGAGAGUUAUUCGUACUUGAGCUCUGAAGAAAACAUAUUAGAUUAUAUGUCUGUAAGGCUCAGACCUUGAACCUCCUCAGCCUGUACUAAAUCAGCCUUGACUUCCUCCUUCUUCGGAUUCAGAAUUGUAGCCACUUCUUAGGGCAAAGGUGACCCUCUGGGUGGCCUGCACUCUCACCCUAAUCGGUAUCAGCCGGCCUUUGGGGAAAGUGAGUGGAGGCAUAGGAAACACUGUGGAUGGCCAAAACUCUGCUCUGAUUAAGAAAACAAUUCUGGGGACUUUCUUGGUGGUUCCAGCGGUUAAGAAUCCAUCUUCCGAUGCAGGGGACGCAGGUUCAAUCCCCAGCGGGGAACUAAGAUCCCACAUGCCACAGGGCAACGAAGCCCAAGCACCACAGCCAAGACCUGAUGCAGCCAAAGAAAUAUUUUUAAAAAAGAAAAGGAAACAAUUCAAUUUACAACAGCGUCAAAAAGAAUAAAAUACCUAGGAAAAUAAUCAACCAAGGAGGUGAAUGACUUGUAUAGUGAAAACCACAAAAUGUCGCUGAAAGAAAUUAAAGAAGACAUGAAAAGGAAGACAUCCUGCAUUCAUGAAUUCGAAGACUUCAUAUUGUUAAGGUGUCAAUACUACUCAAAGGAAAUCUAUAGAUUCAGUGCAAUCCCUAUCAAAUCCCAACGACAUGUUUUUGCACAAAAAGAAAACUUCACCCUAAAACAUAUACAGAAUCUCAAGGGACUCCAAAUAGUCAAAAAAAAUCUUGAAAAAUAAAGAGCAAAGUGGGAGGUCUCACAGCUUUGUCAGGUUGGCUUAAUCCAAGUCUCAUUAUGAACUGAUCUCCAGUUUUCCACAGCUAACCUAGUCUCUUCUCUUCCCAGUCCUUUGGUCCAACCAAGGCUGUGGGUCCAACUUCCAGUUACACCAACUACUUAAUGUAUCUCCUUCUAAUCCAUGUAACGUCUUUCCUCUUUCCUUCAGGAUCAGGCUCAUGCUCCCACCUCCUGCACAAAGACUACACCAACUGUUGGCCACCUACAUCUCCCCAUUCCCUGAGGUCCAAUCGUACUAUCAUCUGAACUCCACAGUUUAGCACUUUAUUCAUCCGACAGCAAUCGAGUUCUUUUCAUACACAGAGCACUAGAGAUUAGGUCCACCAACUACUGCUUUCCAGUUGACUCAUUCAUAAAUCUUGCCUGGAUCACUAGAGGCAGACUUCCUGAAGGAAGGAACCAAAGGAAGCAGUGUUCAGCAUGUCCCUUUUGGAAGCUGCUCUGAGAGCAUUUACCCCUGUCCAGCCCACCUCAAAGUACGGCUAACACUGGAUCCGUCCUGAAAGGUCUGGCAGCAACAAAAGGUGUUGACUACUUCAAUGAAAGACCUACUUAACCCAAGCGCUCUGCACAUAGACAUGCUUUUGCCCCUGCUUCUGUUUGCCCGGCAUCCAUGCCAGGUCAGGCCCUUCAAACAAGCCCCUUAUGUCCCCAGGAAAAUGGCAGGGCUGGCCCAGGUGGGAAAGGGCCCGUGUUUAGAUGUCCACAAUCCAUCAUGCCAAAGGGAAAGCAAGGAAAAUAUUUAACCAACAGCCAGACCAGGGCAACUGGGGCAGAGGCAAACAGCUGAGAUGUGCUGAGGGAUCCGUGGGGCUUUCUCCACUCCAGUAGCUGUUGGGAGAUUAACUUUCCCUUGCUGUCUUUCUUCCUUCGGAGUCCUGCCUCGCUCACAGGGAUCUUCUGAAGGCUGUUGUGCUGAUAAUACAGGAUCUGUACGGAGCUCAGAGCUUGUGUACACUGUUGAAAGGCAAAUGAUCUGAACGUGAAAGACAGAUUAGGCAGUUCUUAUAGCACAGCCAGCUUCCGUGGUUUCUGUUUUACCUCCCAGAAUUUUUUUUUAAUUAAA
ensembl:lncRNA